AGUGAACGCUGGCGGUAGGCCUAACACAUGCAAGUCGAACGGCAGCACAGUAAGAGCUUGCUCUUACGGGUGGCGAGUGGCGGACGGGUGAGGAAUACAUCGGAAUCUACUUUUUCGUGGGGGAUACGUAGGGAAACUUACGCUAAUACCGCAUACGACCUACGGGUGAAAGCAGGGGAUCUUCGGACCUUGCGCGAUUGAAUGAGCCGAUGUCGGAUUAGCUAGUUGGCGGGGUAAAGGCCCACCAAGGCGACGAUCCGCAGCUGGUCUGAGAGGAUGAUCAGCCACACUGGAACUGAGACACGGUCCAGACUCCUACGGGAGGCAGCAGUGGGGAAUAUUGGACAAUGGGCGCAAGCCUGAUCCAGCCAUACCGCGUGGGUGAAGAAGGCCUUCGGGUUGUAAAGCCCUUUUGUUGGGAAAGAAAAGCAGCAGGUUAAUACCCCGCUGUUCUGACGGUACCCAAAGAAUAAGCACCGGCUAACUUCGUG
rnacentral:rRNA from 1 species